CUGGAGUGAGAGGCGCGCAGGGGGAACCGCUUCUCGAACUUCGAGGCGCAGGCCAGUCUGGAGGGGAGGAGAAAGAGGGGCGGAGAGGCGCUCUCUGUUCCCACGGGUCCGGAGGGUCAAGGAAUCUUUUUAUUCCAAUGAAACUGUAAUGGGAGGCUGACGUAUAAAGAACUGCUGUGGUUGAAGAAAAGGAUGGGUGAGGAAGAGUCUAAUUUCCUCUAGGACUGUUCCCACUUGACUUAGUCAUGAAAAGAACCAGGUGAAGUCAGGAAACCUGGCCGAAUGCAGGCUGCUUUGUAUACAACGGUGGCAGUAGCAGGACAGAAAGGAAAAGGAGACCGUUUCUCUAUAGAAUUCUCAGAAAGGCCAAUGGCAUUUUGAGAAUGGAACGUGGAGUUUUGCUGGAUUUAACAGUUCUCCCUGAAACUACGUACACAUUUGCCCUUUUGCUGUAUAUUUCUUAAAGUGCUAUUUUUGUUGUGGUUUUAGUGAUUCUCAUCCAAAAACAUAGCAGUCUCAUGUCAUGGAAAAACAC
ensembl:lncRNA